rnacentral:rRNA from 1 species
UACGGGGGGGGCAAGCGUUGUUCGGAAUUACUGGGCGUAAAGGGCUGGUAGGCGGCCAACUAAGUCGGAUGUGAAAUCCCCAGGCUUAACCUGGGAACUGCAUCCGAUACUGGUCGGCUUGAAUCCGGGAGAGGGAUGCAGAAUUCCCGGUGUAGUGGUGAAAUGCGUAGAUAUCGGGAGGAACACCAGUGGCGAAGGCGACUACCUGGCCUGUUCUUGACGCUGAGGCGCGAAAGCUAGGGGAGCAAACGGG